rnacentral:rRNA from 1 species
CUACGUGCCAGCAGCCGCGGUAAUACGGAGGGUGCGAGCGUUAAUCGGAAUAACUGGGCGUAAAGGGCACGCAGGCGGCUAUUUAAGUGAGGUGUGAAAUCCCCGGGCUUAACCUGGGAAUUGCAUUUCAGACUGGGUAGCUGGAGUACUUUAGGGAGGGGUAGAAUUCCACGUGUAGCGGUGAAAUGCGUAGAGAUGUGGAGGAAUACCGAAGGCGAAGGCAGCCCCUUGGGAAUGUACUGACGCUCAUGUGCGAAAGCGUGGGGAGCAAACAGGAUUAGAUACCCUGGUAGUCCACGCUGUAAACGCUGUCGAUUUGGGGAUUGGGCUUUAAGCUUGGUGCCCGUAGCUAACGUGAUAAAUCGACCGCCUGGGGAGUACGGCCGCAAGGUUAAAACUCAAAUGAAUUGACGGGGGCCCGCACAAGCGGUGGAGCAUGUGGUUUAAUUCGAUGCAACGCGAAGAACCUUACCUACUCUUGACAUCCAUGGAAUCCUGUAGAGAUACGGGAGUGC